UACGGAGGGGGCUAGCGUUGUCCGGAUUUACUGGGCGUAAAGAGCGCGCAGGCGGUCGUUCAAGUCGAGUGUGAAAGCCCCCGGCUCAACUGGGGAGGGUCAUUCGAUACUGAUCGACUGGAAGGCAGGAGAGGGAAGCGGAAUUCCCGGUGUAGUGGUGAAAUGCGUAGAUAUCGGGAGGAACACCAGUGGCGAAGGCGGCUUCCUGGCCUGUUCUUGACGCUGAGGCGCGAAAGCUAGGGGAGCAAACGGG
rnacentral:rRNA from 1 species